AAUGAACGCUGGCGGCAGGCCUAACACAUGCAAGUCGAACGAGUGGCGGACGGGUGAGUAAUGUCUGGGAAACUGCCCGAUGGAGGGGGAUAACUACUGGAAACGGUUGCUAAUACCGCAUACCAUCGGAGGUGACCAGAUGGGAUUAGCUAGUAGGUGGGGGAAAGACGCACCGAGGCGACGACCCCUAGCUGGUCUGAGAGGAUGACCAGCCACACUGGAACUGAGACACGGUCCAGACUCCUACGGGAGGGAGCCGUGGGGAAUAUUGCACAAUGGGCGCAAGCCUGAUGCAGCCAUGCCGCGUGUAUGAAGAAGGCCUUCGGGUUGUAAAGUACUUUCAGCGGGGAGGCGUUACCCGCAGAAGAAGCACCGGCUAACUCCGUGCCAGCAGCCGCGGUAAUAC
rnacentral:rRNA from 1 species